rnacentral:lncRNA from 10 species
GCCGUCCAGGUUACAGAAGAGAACCUUCUCUAUCACCAAAACUAACUUGCCUUCAGAAUUUAAAAUGGUCCACAGCAGUCGAAUUUUGUAAAAAGAAAUCAUGCCCUAAUCCGGGAGAAAUACGAAAUGGUCAGAUUGAUGUACCAGGUGGCAUAUUAUUUGGUGCAACCAUCUCCUUCUCAUGUAACACAGGGUACAAAUUAUUUGGCUCGACUUCUAGUUUUUGUCUUAUUUCAGGCAGCUCUGUCCAGUGGAGUGACCCGUUGCCAGAGUGCAGAGGAAAAUCUCUAACUUCCAAGGUCCCACCAACAGUUCAGAAACCUACCACAGUAAAUGUUCCAACUACAGAAGUCUCACCAACUUCUCAGAAAACCACCACAAAAACCACCACACCAAAUGCUCAAGCAACACGGAGUACACCUGUUUCCAGGACAACCAAGCAUUUUCAUGAAACAACCCCAAAUAAAGGAAGUGGAACCACUUCAGGUACUACCCGUCUUCUAUCUGGUUCUCGUCCUGUCACCCAGGCUGGUAUGCGGUGGUGUGAUCGUAGCUCACUGCAGUCUCGAACUCCUGGGUUCAAGCGAUCCUUCCACUUCAGCCUCCCAAGUAGCUGGUACUACAGGGCACACGUGUUUCACGUUGACAGGUUUGCUUGGGACGCUAGUAACCAUGGGCUUGCUGACUUAGCCAAAGAAGAGUUAAGAAGAAAAUACACACAAGUAUACAGACUGUUCCUAGUUUCUUAGACUUAUCUGCAUAUUGGAUAAAAUAAAUGCAAUUGUGCUCUUCAUUUAGGAUGCUUUCAUUGUCUUUAAGAUGUGUUAGGAAUGUCAACAGAGCAAGGAGAAAAAAGGCAGUCCUGGAAUCACAUUCUUAGCACACCUACACCUCUUGAAAAUAGAACAACUUGCAGAAUUGAGAGUGAUUCCUUUCCUAAAAGUGUAAGAAAGCAUAGAGAUUUGUUCGUAUUUAGAAUGGGAUCACGAGGAAAAGAGAAGGAAAGUGAUUUUUUUCCACAAGAUCUGUAAUGUUAUUUCCACUUAUAAAGGAAAUAAAAAAUGAAAAACAUUAUUUGGAUAUCAAAAGCAAAUAAAAACCCAAUUCAGUCUCUUCUAAGCAAAAUUGCUAAAGAGAGAUGAACCACAUUAUAAAGUAAUCUUUGGCUGUAAGGCAUUUUCAUCUUUCCUUCGGGUUGGCAAAAUAUUUUAAAGGUAAAACAUGCUGGUGAACCAGGGGUGUUGAUGGUGAUAAGGGAGGAAUAUAGAAUGAAAGACUGAAUCUUCCUUUGUUGCACAAAUAGAGUUUGGAAAAAGCCUGUGAAAGGUGUCUUCUUUGACUUAAUGUCUUUAAAAGUAUCCAGAGAUACUACAAUAUUAACAUAAGAAAAGAUUAUAUAUUAUUUCUGAAUCGAGAUGUCCAUAGUCAAAUUUGUAAAUCUUAUUCUUUUGUAAUAUUUAUUUAUAUUUAUUUAUGACAGUGAACAUUCUGAUUUUACAUGUAAAACAAGAAAAGUUGAAGAAGAUAUGUGAAGAAAAAUGUAUUUUUCCUAAAUAGAAAUAAAUGAUCCCAUUUUUUGGU